UGUCACAUCCCUAGCCCUACUUUGGCCUUGGACUAGCUUGGUGGUUGCAUCAUGUUUAAAUUCAAAUGAAAUUUGAAUUGAGGAAUUUUCAAAGCCUCAGAAUCCCUUUAAAAAUAAUCAACAUUAAAAUCCUUUCAAAGAAGUCCAAGAAAAUGUUCCUCUUAGUCUCUGAAAAUAUUGGCAAGAGGUAAAACUUAAAACAAUAUUUUUGGAGUCUCAGAAAUAUUUAUUUUGGGCCUUUGAAUUAAUUCAAUAACUAUUUGCAUUGGAUAUAUAUUCUUUAUAUAAUUAAUAUAUGUCCAAUAAUUCUGGAACAUUUUAUGUCGCUUGGGAUAUUUUAGUUCUAGUCACAUAUUUAUUUUCAGGAUUUUAUAAAAUGAUUUAGUAUUUAAACUAAAUCAAAACAAAAUAACAUAAAUAGAAAACAGAAACAGAAUUAGAAAGAGAGGAACCUACCUGGCCUGUUACUAUAGUGGCCCAGCUCCUCCAGCCGGCCCAGCCCAGCUGGCCAGUGCCAGUCGUCUUCAACCUCUGCCAUUAGGCAGAGGCGAAGGCGGGCACGGCGCGUGCUGAGGCCGCCACCUCCUCCCUGCCUGCCUCGUGCCCCUGAGGCUCACUUCUAGCGCCACAGAGACGGCCACGCACCCCCAGGCCCUCUCACUCCUCCCCCCGUGCUCAUCCCCUCCCCUGUCUCUCUCCCUCGCGACCACCGAGCGUGCACGUCGCCGCCGAAGCCGUUCGCCGCAGCCAGAGCCACUGCCCCGCCUCUCCGCCGUGUCUAGAAGAACCGCCCCGUCUCCCUACUCCUCCUCGCCGAGCCGCGCGGGUCGGGAAGCCCUACAUCACCCUCUGCACCACCAUCUUCGCCGCCUCUACCCCGAGAUCGCCGGCGACCUUCCGACGCCGUCCGUGCUUCCCCGAGCCCACUUCGAUGCCCCCUACAACCGCCGUGAGCCACUACACCGAACCCCUCUCUCCCAGUGCUCGUUUGCCUCCUCUGGCCAUCGCUUUCGUCAAGCCCGAGACCUCACCGCCGCCGGCCAUGGCGCCACCGCGGCUACUGAUGCCAUGGCUCGCGUCUGAGCAUGUCCCCGUGUUCAGUACUUCCCCAGGAGCACGUAGCACCCAUCAGUUCCUCCCCUAGUGCACCGUAGCGUCGAGUCGGUCGGCGCCCGAGCUCCGGCCACCGCUGUUGAGGUCGCCGGCGCCGUUUCUGGCCACCGCAGCCGCUGACUUUGGUCCCAUUGGAUGCAGAAGAACGCGAGCUACACGUAGAGCCUCUCCGCCGCUUGUUUGGUCAUCGGACGACAAAAUCCGACGCCCUCCGCCGCAUCUGCCAUCGCCGGCGUCGAGCCGUGGACCAUGUCCGGCGGGUUUGAACCCGUUGACCAGGGGUUUGACCUCCCCUGAUUGACUGGCGUGUGGGCCAGGCCCCUUUUUAAUUAGUGUUAGAUUUAGUUAGUACUAAUUAACUUAGUUAAGUAAAUUAGACACUGACAUGCGGGCCCAAGCUCUAAUUAACUUAAGUUAGUUAGUUAGUCACUGACCAAUGGGUCCCACUGGUCAGGUUUGACCUGGUCAGCCGCAGUUGACUUGCUGAGGUCAGCAUGACGCAAUGCUGAUGCCGUAAAUGAUUUUCUGGAUUUUAAAUAAUUCAGGAAAUUCCAGAAAAUGUCCAAAACUUCUAAAAAUCAUAGAAAUUAAACCAUAACUCCAAAUGAAAUAAAUUAUAUAUGUAAAAUUAUCAGAAAAAUUCAAGGAAUCCAUCUGUACCAUUUUCAUGCAUGUUUGAACAAUGUUUGUCCUCUGUUUUGGACAAAACAAAUAAAGGGCAUUUAAAUAAUCAUAUAUGGGGUUGGAAUUUGAAUCUUGUACUCAAACUAACUUCAUUUAAAUCAUAGCUAGUUGCAUUAGCUCUAACCACAGCAUAUUGACAUGUCAUGAUCAUGCAUCAUAUUGUGCAUUGCAUUGAUUGUGUUUCUUUCUCCUGUUGCCGGUAUUUGUCCCCUCUCGAUAGACAUUGUACCGACGAUGUGAUCGUUGACACUGAUGAAGACCCAAUGAUAUCUUCAGAAGUGCCAGGCAAGCACAACCCCCUUGUUCAUUCCGAUACAAGCCCACUCUCUCGCUCCUGCUCUCUUUUACUGCAUUAGGACAACAACGAUUCAUCUGUUACUUGUUGCGGUAGUUGAACCCCUUAUCCUCUGCAUGACCUGUCAUUGCCACAGUAAAUAGAUGAAACCCACUAGCAUGAGUAGGAAUUGUUUGAGCCCUGAUGUGCCUACUCAUUCAUGCUUGUUUGUCAUGCCUGCUACUGCUUAGAGUUGAGUCAGGUUUGAUUCAUCGGGGAUGGAUCGGAGGUGUGUAAACAUGUCCUACUGUUGAGAGCUAAGUGUGUGAACAUGUUUUGGUAAAGGUAGCGGUGAGAGGCCAUGUAGGAGUACAUGGUGGGUUGUCUCAUUGAAACCGUCCUCAGGAACUGAGUUCUGUGUUUGUGAUCCAUGAAACAGCUACUACCACACGUUGGGCCCUGAAAUAUGACCCCGCUCGACUUACUGACCCCUCUCGUCCUCUGUCCAGGAGUUGCAACUAGUUUCUGGUGUUUGUAGGUUAUGUGUUGGCGGCCGUGCAUAGCGCUGACCCUAGGGGUGGGCUAUGUUGCGGUAGAUACACUGUGGCACGGUGUACCGGGCGCCCGUUUGGUGUCUCGGGAACCCUGCACACAUCGUUUGGGGCUGUGAGCGAAACUCCGGCCGGAUCUCCUCGCGGAUGGAACCUGAAUAGGCGAUAAACCUGGAUUAGAGACUUGUGUGGUUAGUCAGGUCGUGGUCUACACCCACGUCGGCUUUCGCUUGAAGUCUGCUGAGCACAUGUCGUGUGCAGACGUUAAGUGGUGGAAACAUGUGUGACGAAGUACACCCCUGCAGGGUUAUAAAUGAUCUAUUCGAAUAGCCGUGUCCACGGUAAAGGACUUCUGGGUUGCCUAUAACAGUUCAUAGACAAGUGAAAGUGGAUACCCUAAAACUCGCAAGAUAAGCGUGAGUGCUAUGGAUGGCCUUCUCGUAGGGAGACGAGAGCGGAUCCAUAGUGGUGUAUUGAUUGGUGAAUAUGUGGACUCGUGUGCGCCACCUCAAAGAGUUGCUUGCAAUCGUAGUUCAGAUUAGCCACUGAGUCAAAGCUGGCUUGCUGCAGUUAAACUCCACCACCCCCCUUGUUGAUACCGAUGCAUAUGUAGCUAUUUCUGAUGUAAGUCUUGCUGAGUACCUUUGUACUCACAUUUGCUUAAUUUAUGUUUUGCAGAGAGACUUCAGUCUCGCUAGUAGUUCCGCGUGGACUUCGACGAUUAGCUUGAUACCUCAGCUACGAUCUUGUGCCCUCGGCAGGAUCUGGUAGAUAGUCAGGCUCCUUUUCAUUUGUAGUUGUCUAUACUCAGACAAGUUAAGCUUCCGCAUGUGCUUGUUGCUUGUAUGCUCUGUAUGUUGGGUCAUGAGACCCAUGUUUGUAAUAUCUCGCUCCUCGGAGCCUAAUGAACAAAUACUUGAGUUGUAGAGUUAUGUUGUGAUGCCAUGUUGUAUUUACACAUAUCGAGCAUAUUGUGUGUAUGAUUAAAAUGCUUGGUAUGUGUAGGAUCCGACAACCUAGUUGUUUAUCCUUCGCAGCCUUUCUUAUGGGGAAAUGUAGUCUAGUGCUUCUGAGCGAUAGUAGUCCGCUACAGCCCGGAUCACCGGAGUCCUGCUAGCCCAGCACUACUGCUCAGGACACUUGACUGGCCGGCAUGUGUUUCACUUCGUUCCUAUGUCUGUCCCUUCGGGCAAAUGUCACGCGGUGACAUCCGGAGUCUUGCCUAGCCUGCUACAGCCCGGAUCACCGGAGUCGUGUUAGCCCAGUGCUACAGCCCGGAUUCACACGCUGUUGACCGACAUGCUCGAGGUUGAUUCAUGUAUGCCUGUCCCCAUGGGUUAGUGCCGCUUUGGGUUCACGACUAGCCAUGUCGGCCCGUGUUCUUUGUCAUAUGGAUGCUAGCGACACUAUCAUAUACGUGAGCCAAAAGGCGCAAACGGUCCUGGGCCAGGUAAGGUGGCACCGGUGGAAAUACCAUGCGUGAGGCCACAAAGUGAUAUGAUGUGUUACAUGCUAGAUCGGUGUGACCUAGGAUCGGGGUCCUGACAGCGUUGGUAUCAGAGCAAUUAUCUCCUCGCUAGUUUGAAACCAUGCAUCAUCCUACUUAAGCGUGGAAUUGUUGCCUACCAAAUUUGAACCUUUAUCUUCCGCUUCUUUCCAUCCCUCCUGUUGUGUGUUUCGUGUCUCAGCUCAAGAGAUGUUUUAUAUCUCACUCCAUGAGUUGAUCUUGAGUGCUCGAUCUCCGAGGAGAUCGAUUUUUGUAGAAUUUCUUUCUGCCAUCAUCAUGCUGGAUGAAGAUCCCGAAAGCAAAGACGUCAAGAUCAAGAUGACGAAAUGAAUCAACAUCCUUGGGAAGGGCAGUUGGAUCGAGAAGACUGCGAUAGUCUUGUGAACCCCCCCUUCCUUCUUACCUCAUGUCUUGAAUCUCGGGCCGAGAUUCUUGUUUAGUGGGGGUGAGCUGUCACAUCCCUAGCCCUACUUUGGCCUUGGACUAGCUUGGUGGUUGCACCAUGUUUAAAUUCAAAUGAAAUUUGAAUUGAGGAAUUUUCAAAGCCUCAGAAUCCCUUUAAAAAUAAUCAACAUUAAAAUCCUUUCAAAGAAGUCCAAAAAAAUGUUCCUCUUAGUCUCUGAAAAUAUUGGCAAGAGGUAAAACUUAAAACAAUAUUUUUGGAGUCUCAGAAAUAUUUAUUUUGGGCCUUUGAAUUAAU
rnacentral:lncRNA from 1 species